GAGACUUGGGAGCCAGAGGCGA
rnacentral:siRNA from 1 species